rnacentral:tRNA from 1 species
GCGCCCGUGGUGCAACGCGAAGCAUCGCUGACCGGGAAAUCAGGAGUGCGGGUUCGAGUCCCGCCUGGUGCA